rnacentral:rRNA from 1 species
CUUCCGUAGGGGUGACCUGCGGAAGGAUCAUUCAUAAGAAUAAUUCAUAUAUUUUGUGGAACUUUGAUUGAGUUACAUGUUUAUUAUUUUAAAACUAUUUUAAUUAUUAUACAAACUAAGAAAACCUCCAACAACGGAUCUCUUGGUUCCCAGAUCGAUGAAGAGCGCAGCAAAUUGCGAUAAGUGAUGUGUAUUGCAGUGAAUCAUCAAUUCUUGAACGCACAUGGCGCCCGUAUGGGCAUACUUGUAUGAGGGUAAUUAAUAUGAAAUCGCUUUGGCUUUUUCUAAAAUCAACUGUGUGACAAGUUACACAAACUAUUAAUUACUUUUUUACCUCAUAUCAAGUAAGAUUACCCGCUGAACUUAAGCAUAUCAAUAAGCGGAGGA